rnacentral:rRNA from 1 species
UACAGAGGUCCCAAGCGUUGUUCGGAUUCAUUGGGCGUAAAGGGUGUGUAGGUGGCGCCGUAAGUCGGGGUGUGAAAUUUCGGAGCUUAACUCCGAAACUGCAUUCGAUACUGCGGUGCUUGAGGACUGGAGAGGAGACUGGAAUUCAUGGUGUAGCAGUGAAAUGCGUAGAGAUCAUGAGGAAGACCAGUGGCGAAGGCGGGGUCUCUGGACAGUUCCUGACACUGAGACACGAAGGCCAGGGGAGCAAACGGGG